rnacentral:rRNA from 1 species
GAAUAUUGGACAAUGGGGGGAACCCUGAUCCAGCCAUGCCGCGUGUGUGAAGAAGGCCUUUUGGUUGUAAAGCACUUUAAGCGAGGAGGAGGAGCUCUUGGUUAAUACCCAAGUUGCUUGGACGUUACUCGCAGAAUAAGCACCGGCUACCUCUGUGCCAGCAGCCGCGGUAAUACCGAGGGGGCAAUCGUUUAUCGGAGUUAACGGGCGUAAAGGGGGGGGAGGGGGGCAAUUAAGCCAAAUGGGAAAUCCCCGGGCUUAAAUUGGGAAUUGCAAUCGAUACUGGUUGGGUAGAGGAUGGGAGAGGAUGGGAGAAUUCCAGGUGGAGCGGGGAAAUGCGGAGAGAUCGGGAGGAAUACCGAUGGCGAAGGGAGGCAUCUGGCCUAAUAAUGACACUGAGGUGCGAAAGCAUGGGGAGCAAACA